rnacentral:rRNA from 1 species
GGUGAAAUUCUUGGAUUUGUUGAAGACGGACUACUGCGAAAGUCAUCUGCCAAGAUGUUCUCAUUGAUCAAGAACGAAAGUUAGGUGAUCGAAGACGAUCAGAUACCGUCCUAGUCUUUUUCCUAAACUAUGGCCACUGGAGAUGCGGGGGGUCGGGAUUACGUGACGCCCUCUGCAUCUUGAGAGAAAUCAAAGUCUUUGGGUUCCGGGGGGAGUAUGGGGCGCAGGCUGAAACUUAAAGGAAUUGACGGAAGGGCACCACCAGGAGUGGAGCCUGCGGCUUAAUUUGACUCAACACGGGGAAACUUACCAGGUCCAGACAUAGUAAGGAUUGACAGACUGAUAGCUCUUUCGAGAUUCUAUGGGUG